AGGGGCCGUUUGUUUGACAGGACUAGGGAGGACUGGACUGGACUAUAGUCCCUUGUUUGGUUUGUAGCAGGAUUAGUUUUAAUGACCUUAGGUCGGACUCGCUCAGAUUAUUCACCUCCUUACGCGUUCUUAACGAGGAACCCCAGUUUCGGGAGGACUCGUAAGCCCUGAGAGAAAGCCGCGAGAGAGUCACUCAUCCAAGAACCUACGUCGCUCGUCCUCAUCGCUGCGUCUUCCCUCAUCGUCGUCCUUGCCCUGCUCCCUCAUCGUCAUCUUCCUCAUUCUGAUCUCUGCGCCUUCCCUCAUCUGCAUCUGCUCGCCCUCAUCUGCUCCGACUUGUCUGCAAUUUCGUGUCUGGGUUUCACAAGAGGAAGAAGAAGAGGAGAAGGGAAGCUGAGCAGAAGCAAGGAGAGGCAUUGCGGCGGAAACGUCUCAAGCUGUGCAAAAAGGGGAAUUCUAUAUCGACUACAAAGUACAACUUCAUUACAUUUUUUGCCGAAAGGACUCUUUGAACAGAGAAGAGGAGCAUAAACGGAAGGCUAAGGCUAAGGCUACUGCAUUACAGGUGUCCUUU